rnacentral:rRNA from 1 species
GUGAGGAAUAUUGGUCAAUGGGCGGGAGCCUGAACCAGCCAAGUCGCGUGAAGGAAGAAGGAUCUAUGGUUCGUAAACUUCUUUUGCAGGGGAAUAAAGUGCAGGACGUGUCCUGUUUUGUAUGUACCCUGAGAAUAAGGAUCGGCUAACUCCGUGCCAGCAGCCGCGGUAAUACGGAGGAUCCGAGCGUUAUCCGGAUUUAUUGGGUUUAAAGGGUGCGCAGGUGGUUUGAUAAGUCAGCGGUGAAAGUUUGCAGCUUAACUGUAAAAAUGCCGUUGAAACUGUCGGACUUGAGUGUAAAUGAGGUAGGCGGAAUGCGUGGUGUAGCGGUGAAAUGCAUAGAUAUCACGCAGAACUCCGAUUGCGAAGGCAGCUUACUAAGCUACAACUGACACUGAAUCACGAAAGCGUGGGGAUCAAACAGGAUUAGAAACCCCUGUAGUCC